UACGUAGGGGGCGAGCGUUGUCCGGAUUUAUUGGGCGUAAAGAGCUCGUAGGCGGCUUGGCAAGUCGGGUGUGAAAACUCUAGGCUCAACCUGGAGACGCCACUCGAUACUACCAUGGCUAGAGUCCGGUAGGGGACCACGGAAUUUCUGGUGUAGCGGUGAAAUGCGCAGAUAUCAGAAGGAACACCGGUGGCGAAGGCGGUGGUCUGGGCCGGAACUGACGCUGAGGAGCGAAAGCGUGGGGAGCGAACAGG
rnacentral:rRNA from 1 species